rnacentral:RNase_P_RNA from 1 species
CGGGCUGGCCAGGCAGCCGCGGGAGGCCGGGGAGAAAACCGGUCCUCGAGGAAAGUCCGGACACCGCAGGGCGGGGUGGUCGGCAGGUCUGAACCCGGGGAUCAGUCCUCGGUCGAGGACCGAACCGACCCGGGGAAACCCGCGGGAAAGUGCCACAGAAAGCAGACCGCCCAAGCGGCGGGUCCGGCGGUCCGCCCCCGGGGGGACCUUCGGAGCAACCCGCCGCCGGCAAGGGUGAAACGGUGCGGUAAGAGCGCACCGGCGGCGUGGCGACACGUCGGCCAGGCAAACCCCACCCGGUGCAAGGCCAAGCAGGGGCGAUGACGCUGCCCGCCGAGCCCCAGGUCGGCCGCAGGGUCCCUAUGGGGCCCGCGUCGGGCGCGAGCCCGGCGCAGAUGGAUGGCUGCCCACGACAGAAUCCGGCUUACCGGCCAGCUAAGGGA